rnacentral:rRNA from 1 species
AGAUCGAACUAUAGAGUUUGAUCCUGGCUCAGAUUGAACGCUGGCGGCAUGCUUUACACAUGCAAGUCGAACGGUAACAGGUCUUCGGAUGCUGACGAGUGGCGAACGGGUGAGUAACACAUCGGAACGUGCCUAGUAGUGGGGGAUAACUACUCGAAAGAGUAGCUAAUACC